AGAGUUUGAUCAUGGCUCAGGAUGAAUGCUGGCGGCGUGCCUAACACAUGCAAGUCGAGCGGCAGCGCGGGUAGUUUACUACCUGGCGGCGAGCGGCGGACGGCUGAGUAACGCGUGGGAACAUACCCCAAAGUGAGGAAUAACCGCUCGAAAGGGUGGCUAAUGCCGCAUAUGGUCUUCGGAUUAAAGGAUUUAUCCGCUUUGGGAAUGGCCUGCGUACGAUUAGAUAGUUGGUGAGGUAAAGGCUCACCAAGUCUACGAUCGUUAACUGGUCUGAGAGGAUGAUCAGUCAGACUGGAACUGAGACACGGUCCAGACUCCUACGGGAGGCAGCAGUGAGGAAUCUUCCACAAUGGGCGAAAGCCUGAUGGAGCAACGCCGCGUGCAGGAUGAAGGCCUUCGGGUCGUAAACUGCUUUUAUAAGUGAAGAAUAUGACGGUAACUUAUGAAUAAGCACCGGCUAACUACGUGCCAGCAGCCGCGGUCAUACGUAGGGUGCAAGCAUUAUCCGGAGUGACUGGGCGUAAAGAGUUGCGUAGGUGGUUUGUUAAGUGAAUAGUGAAAUCUGGUGGCUCAACCAUACAGACUAUUAUUCAAACUGGCAAACUCGAGAAUAGCAGAGGUAACUGGAAUUUCUAGUGUAGGAGUGAAAUCCGUAGAUAUUAGAAGGAACACCAAUGGCGUAGGCAGGUUACUGGGCUAUUUCUGACACUGAGGCACGAAAGCGUGGGGAGUGAACCGGAUUAGAUACCCUGGUAGUCC
rnacentral:rRNA from 1 species